GACGAACGCUGGCGGCGUGGAUUAGGCAUGCAAGUCGAACGGUAUCAUCCUUUCGGGGGUGAGAGAGUGGCGAACUGGUGAGUAACACGUAGGUUAUCUACCCUCAAGACGGGGACAACCCAGGGAAACUUGGGCUAAUACCGGAUGUGAGCAACUUUUAGUUGUUUGAAAGGUGGCGUAAGCUGUCGCUUGGGGAUGAGCCUGCGUCCUAUUAGUUAGUUGGUGAGGUAACGGCUCACCUAGGCAAUGAUAGGUAGGCGGCCUUAACGGGUGGUCGCCCACACUGGGAUUGAGAUACGGCCCAGACUCCUACGGGAGGCAGCAGUCGAGAAUAGUCUACAAUGGUCGGAAGACUGAUAGUGCGACGCCGCGUGAACGAUGAAUCCCCUCGGGGUUAAAGUUCUUUUAUAUGUGAGCAGUGCUUCUUAUAUUAACAGUAUGGGGAAGAGAUAUUAGCAUAUGAAUAAGCAACGGCUAACUCCGUGCCAGCAGCCGCGGU
rnacentral:rRNA from 1 species